GACGAACGCUGGCGGCGUGCUUAACACAUGCAAGUCAACGGUGAAGCGCCUUCCUUUUUGGUGGGUGUGGAUGAGUGGCGAACGGGUGAGUAACACGUGAGUAACCUGCCCCCUUCUUCUGGAUAACCGCAUGAAAGUGUGGCUAAUACGGGAUAUUCUGGGUCUGUCGCAUGAUGGGUCUGGGAAAGAUAUUGUUUCGGUGGGGGAUGGGCUCGCGGCCUAUCAGCUUGUUGGUGGGGUGAUGGCCUACCAAGGCGGUGACGGGUAGCCGGCCUGAGAGGGUGGACGGUCACACUGGGACUGAGACACGGCCCAGACUCCUACGGGAGGCAGCAGUGGGGAAUAUUGCACAAUGGGCGCAAGCCUGAUGCAGCGACGCCGCGUGAGGGAUGGAGGCCUUCGGGUUGUGAACCUCUUUCGCCAGUGAAGCAGGCCUGCCUCGUUUGUGGGUGGGUUGACGGUAGCUGGAUAAGAAGCGCCGGCUAACUACGUG
rnacentral:rRNA from 1 species